rnacentral:rRNA from 1 species
GAGCUCCUACGGGAGGCAGCAGUGAGGAAUAUUGGUCAAUGGGAGAGAUCCUGAACCAGCCAAGCCGCGUGAGGGAAGACGGCCCUAUGGGUUGUAAACCUCUUUUGUCGGAGAACAAAACCCGGGACGUGUCCCGGACUGCGUGUAUCCGAAGAAAAAGCAUCGGCUAACUCCGUGCCAGCAGCCGCGGUAAUACGGAGGAUGCGAGCGUUAUCCGGAUUUAUUGGGUUUAAAGGGGGCGUAGGCGGUCCGUUAAGUCAGCGGUAAAAUUGCGGAGCGCAACCCCG